rnacentral:rRNA from 2 species
UGGGGAAUAUUGCACAAUGGGCGAAAGCCUGAUGCAGCGACGCCGCGUGAGGGAUGACGGCCUUCGGGUUGUAAACCUCUUUCAGCAGGGAAGAAGCGCAAGUGACGGUACCUGCAGAAGAAGCACCGGCUAACUACGUGCCAGCAGCCGCGGUAAUACGUAGGGUGCGAGCGUUGUCCGGAAUUAUUGGGCGUAAAGAGCUCGUAGGCGGCUUGUCACGUCGGAUGUGAAAGCUCGGGGCUUAACCCCGAGUCUGCAUUCGAUACGGGCUAGCUAGAGUGUGGUAGGGGAGAUCGGAAUUCCUGGUGUAGCGGUGAAAUGCGCAGAUAUCAGGAGGAACACCGGUGGCGAAGGCGGAUCUCUGGGCCAUUACUGACGCUGAGGAGCGAAAGCGUGGGGAGCGAACA